ensembl:lncRNA
UGUUUAGACAAUUUAUUAGUUCACUUGUAUAACUGCUUUACAUGAAAAACUUGCAAAUACUGGGUGCGUCUCAACCAGCUCCCCAGUUCAGUAGAUAACUUGGACAUUUUAAGGGCUGUCUCGGUCGCAAGUUUGAAUUAUAAGCUGUAAGCGAGCUUCCGAUCCUGCUCAAAGUACCAUGACAGAAACGUGUGAUUAAGCCGACACAUCUAUAUGACAUAACGUCGGAAAGAUGUCGUUCCUCCCAGGUGACAAAUGCUGACGUUUUACAACGCGUGUACGUAGUCAUGUUGCCGGAAAUUCAAAGUCAUCUGUCUCCCAAUGUGUAGUGUACCAGGGUCUUUACCAGCACCCCGGCUCCUGUACACCAUAUACUGAUCCAUGAUUUAGGGAGUAGAUUGAGACUCACCCUUGCAGUAACUCCAUUCAACCACAUGGGGGCUCGGUGUUCAAGUCAGUUUAACUGUCCCAGUGUUGUUCCUUGGAGCAACGACAUACACACAACACAAGAGCGCGUACACAACACAAUAUAUGAGGUGUAACUAGUUUGACAAGUGCAAUAUAAAACCUGUGUGUGUGUGUGUACACACUCUAAUAAGAGCUCGGUACUGCAGAGACCCGAAACAGUACACACAAUUACACAGUAACACACUGUGACUAAUAAUUACAUUAAUUACGUGGUGUAAUUGUGCAGAGAUGAGCAGACUGGCUGUACUGAGAUGUGAUCAUGAGUAGAUGCAGAUGGAGAAUGUAGAUUAGAAAUGUCUCGCGGUGUCUGAUUUUAGUGUUAAAAUAAACUUCAUAAUCACACCGUGCGCACACACUGAUCUUCAGGUCAGGGUCACAGGGAGCCUGGAGCCUAUCCCAGGGGAUCCGGGGCACGAGGCGGGGGACAACCUGAAUGGGGUGCCAAAGCAUCACAGGGCACGGUCUCACGCUAUGGAUAAUUCGGAAAUGCAAAUCAGCCUGCAACACUCGGGGAGGAAACCGGAGUACCCAGAGGAAACCUGCAAACUCCAGGGGAACAUGCAAACUCCACACACACGAGGGCAGAGGACAGCAAGAGCUUCUCUCAGAGUGCACCAUGGGGUGUAGCGCGAGUAAAUCCCUUAAAGUCGUAAAGGUCGCAGAAACCAUCGGGGAUGCCGACGAGAACGUCGACUCGAAGGGGUCGGACGAUGGAGAUGCGAACUCGAAAGCAGGGGACGAUGCCGACGACGCCGGGAACGACGAGAGCUGAUGACGUUUCUCCUGCACGCGUUACUUUUAAGACUCCAUAAAGUUCUCCACACCUGGAGGAUGAUCCUGGAUCCACUCAGAUCCAGAAGAUCCUGGAUCCCCAAGACCUAUAGAUGCAGUCCAGUACAAAAUUUUGCACCACCCCCCUUUUCCCAUUUUACAACAAUUACAGUGUACCUAGGUUUUAGAAAGAAAGAGAAUUUGAAGAAGUUAAAUAUGAAAUGUGGGUGUAUCCUGCAACAAGACAACAGGAUAAAUCAACAGAAAUCUAUUUUUGAAAAGAAGUGAAGAAGGCAGAGGUUGACGUCGGUGUGUGGUGAAUGUUACUAUUAGAAUUUAAAACCUCAAAAAAGGAUGCGAAAGAUGUAGAAGGGAAAUGCUGGGCAUACAUGCCUAGGAGACAUAUUUAAGAGGGGAGAUGAAAACUUUUGAACUGAUAUAAUUUGCACUCUUUUCACUUUUAAUAUCCCAACACAGUGUGACCAUUUUUCUGAUUUGAGUCUCAAUAACAAAGAAGCAUUUUUUUUUUAAAAACAUAACUCCAAAUAUCUUGUGUUAAAUGUGUUAAAUUGUCUAGACGUGCUACACCUAGUGUCUAAAUGCUCAAUUAGCCAAAAUAAAUAAUCGACAUUGAAAAAACCAAAUGUGUUCUAUUAUCUUAUAACGAGAAUCCAGCUGUUAUCAGUUAUGUAAUAAUAAAAGCAAUAUUGUUAGCAUUCCUUCCCCCUUCUCAAAUCACUACAUGAAAAC